UAGGGAAUCUUCCACAAUGGACGCAAGUCUGAUGGAGCAACGCCGCGUGAGUGAAGAAGGUUUUCGGAUCGUAAAGCUCUGUUGUUGGUGAAGAAGGAUAGAGGCAGUAACUGGUCUUUAUUUGACGGUAAUCAACCAGAAAGUCACGGCUAACUACGUGCCAGCAGCCGCGGUAAUACGUAGGUGGCAAGCGUUGUCCGGAUGUAUUGGGCGUAAAGCGAGCGCAGGCGGAAUGAUAAGUCUGAUGUGAAAGCCCACGGGUCAACCGUGGAACUGCAUCGGAAACUGUCAUUCUUGAGAGCAGGUGAGGGGAGUGGAAUUCCAUGUGUAUGGGUGGAAUGCGUAGAUAUAUGGAAGGACACCAGUGGCGAAGGCGGGUCUCUGGUCUGCAACUGACGCUGAGGCUCGAAAGCAUGGGUAGCGAACAGG
rnacentral:rRNA from 1 species